AGGCCUUGACAUGCAGAGAACUUUCCAGAGAUGGAUUGGUGCCUUCGGGAGCUCUGACACAGGUGCUGCAUGGCUGUCGUCAGCUCGUGUCGUGAGAUGUUGGGUUAAGUCCCGUAACGAGCGCAACCCUUGUCCUUAGUUACCAGCACGUUAUGGUGGGCACUCUAAGGAGACUGCCGGUGACAAACCGGAGGAAGGUGGGGAUGACGUCAAGUCACCAUGGCCCUUACGGCCUGGGCUACACACGUGCUACAAUGGUCGGUACAAAGGGUUGCCAAGCCGCGAGGUGGAGCUAAUCCCAUAAAACCGAUCGUAGUCCGGAUCGCAGUCUGCAACUCGACUGCGUGAAGUCGGAAUCGCUAGUAAUCGUGAAUCAGAAUGUCACGGUGAAUACGUUCCCGGGCCUU
rnacentral:rRNA from 1 species